GCCGGGUGUGGUGGUGGGCGCCUGUAAUCCCAGCUAUUCAGGAGGCUGAGGCAGGAGAAUCAUUUGAACCCAGGAGGUGGAGGUUGCAGUGAGCUGAGAUUGUGCCACUGCACUCCAGCCUGGGUGACAAAGUGAGACUCUGUCUCAA
rnacentral:SRP_RNA from 1 species